AGAGGGCAAAAACGAAAGAAAAAAAAAGAAAAGAGCUUCUUCUUUCUUCUUCUUUGUUUCUGGUUGCUUUUUCCUUGUUUGUGGUUGCUUUCCUCUCU
rnacentral:ribozyme from 14 species